rnacentral:rRNA from 1 species
UACGAAGGGGGCUAGCGUUGUUCGGAAUCACUGGGCGUAAAGCGCACGUAGGCGGAUCUUUAAGUCAGAGGUGAAAUCCCAAGGCUCAACCUUGGAACUGCCUUUGAUACUGGGGAUCUUGAGUCCGGGAGAGGUGAGUGGAACUGCAAGUGUAGAGGUGAAAUUCGUAGAUAUUCGCAAGAACACCAGUGGCGAAGGCGACUCACUGGCCCGGUACUGACGCUGAGGUGCGAAAGCGUGGGGAGCAAACAGGG